UAUCUCAAAAAAACAAAAACAAACAAAAAAACCAAACCAACAACAACAGAACACCACACACCAGCGAACUGCGCAUCCGUCGUCUAUGGAGGUGACAUAGAUUUCAGGGCUGUCCCUCCAGGCCCCACAUUUCCCUACCACCAGAUUCAGCCCUUGCUUCCUUUGCCUGCAGAUUUACCGUUCUUGAUGACCCAACAAUCUUGACACCACCGCUCUUCCUCCUUCACCAGCAGAGGGGUUUUAGAGACUGGGUCUCAUGUACCCCAGACUGGCCUUCAUAGAUUUUUUUUUUUUUUUUUGGGUUUUGGUUUUUCGAGACAGGGUUUCUCUGUAUACCCCUUGCUGUCCUGGAACUCACUUUGUAGACCAGGCUGGCCUCGAACUCAGAAAUCCGCCUGCCUCUGCCUCCCGAGUGCUGGGAUUAAAGGCGUGCACCACCACGCCUGGCUAGAUUUUUUUAUAUAGUGCUGUGGAUAGAACCCAGGACUUUGUGGAUGUUAGGCAAGCGCUCUAUAGACCGAGCUACCUCUCCAGCCCAGAAGCAGGGCUCAGAUGAGGCCUACAGCAAUGUUUUUCCAGCUCCUGCUUCCAAUGCAUAAAAUGGGAGCAUUGGACCAGCGAGCCCAUCCAGCUGCAACAUUCUUUGCCUCCGAUUCUGCAAGAUGCUGAUGAGGGAGCUGAGCAGGGCUGGACUCUGGAGUUAAUGAGGUUCUCUGGAGCUACCUAGGCUUGCAUCCUGCUAGGCUCUGUAUCCAGGAAACCAGACAAGGCUGAAAACCAGGGCAGGGGCUUGGCAAGGUCUGUACUGGGGGCUGAGAGAGGGGAACCUGACGGGCGAGGGAGCCUGGUGAGCAGGAGGAGGAGGAGAUUAAAGGGGAAAUAUAAUCAAAUAAGUGAUGUAUUUCUGCAGAAAAGCUUCUCCCUGUCCUGGGAUAGCUCACCAGAUGUUGCCCAGAUGUUGCUGGUGAUGGGAAACAUCUCCCUCAGGGAUCUCAUCUGAACUCUUCCUGUUGGUGGGGAAUGAAGUAUCUGUUCCAAGGCAGGCAGGGUCGGGUGUGGAGCACUCAUCUGUAAAUAUGGCGCACGCGCACACACACACACACACAGAGUCUCUCUCUCUCUGGCAAAAACACCCCCAUAUUCUCAAUCCUCAGGGAAUUCUGAAUACUUGGAGACCUGUAAGUACUAAGGACCACCCACCCAUCCACUUACUUAGGAAAAUUAAAAUUAUUACAAGUUUUGAGGGCUUUUAUUGGGGGGGGGCAGAGUUUUUCAGUGUAACCCUAAUUAUCCUGGAACUCGAUCUAUAGACCAGGCUGGCUUCAAACUCCAGGAUCUGCCUGCUUCUGUCUCCAAGUGCUGGGAUUAAAGGUGUGCACCACCACUGCCUGGGUUAGUAAUACUCUUUGGAAUGCGCUGAGAGGUAUUUUGGGUGGAAUAACCCCUAGGAACAGCAGCCACUACACGCCGGAGAAGCCGGUUAAGGAGAUCCAACAACUCUUACUGUUAUAGGCUUUACAGUUUCAGAUUCCUGGAACCGCUCUCGAUGACCUCACGCCCGUGACUUCACAUCCGGAACCUUCUGGGAAUUCUCAGCCGCACUUUUUCGUAAGAAAUCUAGCAGGGGAGGAGGUUGGGCGAGGCGGAGCUUUGCAGACUUUGCUGUGCGACCCGGACCCGCCCUCGGACCCGCCCCUCCCGCAGCGAGCACUCGAGGGCCCGCCCAUGCAGCUACUCUUAGCAGUUUGGAGCCCCAGGUUGAGCCUGAGCCAUUUGAAAUUAGCUAGGUGUGUUUAAGUCUGCUCUGUGGUCGUGGAUGAGAGAGUGUACUGAGAGGAGAACAAGAGUAAGGUGGAUUUGGAGGGAUCCACGAAUAGCCACCACUAACGGUGGCUUGGGUGCCCCACAGUGUGAUAGGACUUCAGGAAGUUGGGGCUGGGGCCAAAGAUGGACAUUUCUGAUGGCUCUGAAGUCCUCAGAGGAGCCUCAGAGUUGAGUCUUCAGGUCAAGCUUUCCAUAAAAGGUGGAUGGAAAAUGGGGUGUGGAGUCCAACCCAAGCAAAGCCAGGAUCCUGGGCUCUCGUGGCGUCAGCGUCAUGGGGGUCCCUCUCUUUCUUUAUGUACUUUUUUUUGUUUGUUUUUAGAGACAGGGUUUCUCUGUGUAACCCUGGCUGUCCUGGAACUCACUCUGUAGACCAGGCUGGCCUUACUCAGAAAUCCGCCUGCCUCUGCCUCCCAAAUGCUGGGAUUAAAGGCGUGCACCAUCACUGCCUGGCUGUUAAUGCUAUAUAUUAAAGAUUAAUAUCUUAAUGCUAUACAUUAUAUAUUAUACUAGAUAUUAAACCAUUUUUCUCUAGAGACUAGAGAUGGUGCUGUUGGUAGUCUGCUUUGCCUAGCAUCUACAAAGCCCUGGGUUUGAUCACCAGCAUAUUAUAAGCCAGCGUGGUGGGUGGCACAGCCCGUGACCCUAACGCUGGGGAGCUAGAGGCAGGAGGGGCAGAAGUGCAAGGUCAUCCUUAGUGACAAAGCAAGUUUGAAGCCUGCCUGGGCUACGUGAGACUCUGUCUCUAAAACGAUCACUUUCUUUACUGGGCCUGGUGGCUCACCCCUUAAAUCUCAGCCCUCAGGAGGCUGAGGCAGGGGGACUAUUGCAAAUCCAAAGCCAGUUUGGUCUAUAAAAUGAGUUUUAUUUUAGCUAGAACUUCAGAGCAAGACUUUGUCCCAGGUAAACAGAACAAAGGACAGAGAGAGAGAGAGACAGAGAGAGACAAAGACAGAGAGAGAGGGAGAGAGACAGAGAGGAAAGAGAGACAGAGAGAGACAGAGAAAGACAGAGAGAGAAGGAGAGAGAGGGGAGAGAGACAGAGGGGGAGAGAGACAGAGACAGAGAGACAGAGACAGGGAGAGACAGAGAGAAACAGAGUGACAGAGAGACAGAGAGAGAGAAAGACAGAGAGAAACAGAGAGAGACAGAGAGAGGGAGAUUGAUUUUCUUUUGUCUAAAAGUUCACUUGUACCCUUGUUCUACAGAUUUUUUUGUUUUUUUUAAACAUUUUUUUUAAGAUUUAUUUAUUUAUUAUAUGUAAGUACACUGUAGCUGUCUUCAGACACUCCAGAAGAGGGUCUCAGGUCUCAUUACAGAUGGUUGUGAGCCACCAUGUGGUUGCUGGGAUUUGAACUCUGGACCUUCGUAAGAACAGUCGGGUGCUCUUACCCACUGAGCCAUCUCACCAGCCCCUUUUUUUGGUUUUUUGAGAGAGGGUUUCUCUGUGUAGCCCUAGCUGUUCUGGAACUCAUUCCGGAGACCAGGCUGGCUUCGAACUCAGAGACCCACCUAUAUCCACCUGUCUUCCGAGUGCUGAGAUUAAAGACAUGUGCCAUCACCUCUGGCUCUCCUUCAGAUGUUAAAAGAAGCUAGAUUUUCAAGGGUCUCUGAAAGUAUUUUAGGCCUUAAACAGGAUGAGAACUGAAAGGAUCAGCUGGCCCUGGCCCAAGCCAGAAGAGUGACACAUUCUGGACAGAACAGCAAAGGCCCUCAAAGGACCCGAAGCUUGGGUGAUAAACAGCAGCUGCCAGGAAGAGAGAGGCUGGACCACCCACACAUGGGGAAUUUGAAGGGUCCUUAAUUUAAAUUUAAAUAAGAGGCAAGAGGUAUACACAGCCAAGUCGUCCUGGGCCAGGUGUAGUCUUUAUGAUGGUCACCACCUCCACUCCAGGUCCUCCUGCAAGAGUUAGUGUGUGAAAGCCCUUCCUGGAAGAUGGUUUCCCUCUCUGGCCGACAACAGGCUUCAACCUUUUCUUUCUCCAUCAUGGGAUUUUGGGGAAAUUUUCAGUUUCUUGGGGUCCGGUUUUUUUUUUUCUUUGGAGGGGUGAGGUGGGGUAAACAAUGUUUCUGUUUAGCCCUAGCUGUUCUGGAAUUCACUCUGUAGAUCUGGGUGGCCUCGAAUUCACCUACCGCUGCCUUCACUGAUAUGAAUGGUAAAGGUUUGUCU